rnacentral:rRNA from 1 species
GACGAACGCUGGCGGCGUGCUUAACACAUGCAAGUCGAACGGAAAGGCCCUGCGCUUGUGGGGUGCUCGAUUGGCGAACGGGUGAGUAACACGUGAGUAACCUGCACUUGACUUUGGGAUAACUUCAGGAAACUGGGGCUCAUAUCCGAUAUGAUCUCCUGCAGCAUGUUGGGGGAUGGUAAGUUUCGGCUGUUGGGGAUGUACUCGCGGCUUAUCAGCUGGUUGGGGGGGUAGUUGCUGACCAAGGUUUUGACGGGUAGCCGGCAUUAGAGGGGAGACGGCCACAUGGGGCCUGAGGUACGGCCCAGAAGCCUAUGGGAGGCAGCAGUGGGAAAUAUUACACAAUGGGCGGGAGCCUGAUGUAGCAACGUCGCGUGCGGGAUGACGGCUUUCGAGUUGUAAACAGCUGUCGCAUGUGACGAAGAGUGAGUGACGGUAAUGGGUAAAGAAGCAACGGCUAACUACGUG